CAUUUAUAUUUAAUUUAUGGUUUUAAUUUUCUGGAAAGAGCCCAAAGGAGCCCACUGCCCAAUGGAGUGCAUGAUACAGGUUUGGUAAGCACAAGUUAAAAUAAAAUAAAAAUGCUUCAGUGCCUUCGGAUGUGUCUAAAACAACAGAAUUAAGAGACUCUAAAAACCAGGGUCAUAAUUAUCUUUCAGUUUAUCUUAAAUGGCAAAGUGUAAGGGAAGAAAGGUGAGUAAAGAAAGAAAUGGGAGGGGGCUUUAAAAUGACAGGAUAUAGCAUUAAGCAUGGUUGAACCAGACUUAAACGUUGGCCCUGCCAGCCUUCCUGAAAAUGGAACAUUAUAGCCUUGCAAAAUCUGGAUUUCACAGUGAGAAAAAAAUCAAACAUAACACUUCUCACUCUGAAUCACUUUACCCAAAAGAGGGUUUUGAAUUGAAACCCUCAUUACUGCCAAUAACUGAGUUUACCUAAAUAAUCUCUAGCACUUUGGAAAGAGGGUAAGGCCACUGCUGUUUGGCAGAUUUAAAAAAGGCAGGAGUUGUGUCCUAGAGAAACCUUUUCUUCCCUUGAACUUUUUCAGAAAAGCUUUCCUGCUUUGGGCCCUCAUCUCCAGAGGAAUCCAUUGUGCAAAAUGUAGAAUACGGACCUAUAGAAAUAUUGGCUUAUUAACAUGUAUUUUUCUUUGGCAUUGCCCAUGCAUGCGCUAAAUGCAGACUUUUCAUUUUUGGGAAGGGUAAGGUGAGCUAUUUAAAUUUACUUGAUUUCAGGAAAUAUCCACAGAGACAUCCUAGACCCUCAAGAACCUUGCAUCUGUGUUCAAACAGUUGAAUUUAAACAAACAGUUGUGGAAGCCGGAAGUUCAAAAUCAAGAUGUCAGCAGUGUGUGUCAGUUCCUUCUGGAGUCUCGAGGAAGGAUCCGUUGUAUGAGUCUCUCCUUCCCUCUGUGCUGCAACUCCUGAAACCUGAAGUCUGUGACUCACCAGUUCUAAGCCCCAGAGUCCUGAUGGGGCACCUCAAGGAGACACUUCAGCCACCUAAGUCAGCUGGACCACCCCAUGACACAGUCAUGGAGGUUCCAGUCUGAAUUCAGAGUCAAUGAUAAGGGAGGCUUCCGUGGCAGAGUGAAAAGCACACACCUGAGAAAUGAAAAGAAAUGGCAAAGGUCACACGUCUCAGGAUGAAUUGCACUGUGUGUGACACCCUAGCUGAAAUCCUAUCCCACAGGACCAUCAGGUGAGCAAUUAAAGAAAGUGGCUGAAAUUGCUUCCAUGUUCUUUUUUCUCUUCUAAAAAUAUCUAUGCUGAGACUUUUUCCCCGUGUGUGUGUAUACACGUGUGUGUAUACACGUGUGUGUAUACAUGUGUGCAGCUUCCCAUGCUUGUGCAGGCCUCUGUGCUAAAGUCGGUGUCUUCAUUCAGACUGCACUUCAUUAUGGUUUUGCUUGAUGUCUGCCUCUCUCUUCCAUUGCCUUUCUUCUAAUUCAUGCUCUACAUUGCAGCAAGAAUGCCAUUCCUCUGUUUAAUAUACUUUCAUGGAUGCUCAUUUGUCUAGACACCUUCUCAUGGGACACAUUCUGCCUUCUACUUAUAACUUAUUUAUCUGCCUUCUUUUGCACAAUGACCACUUCUUCCUUAAAGAUCCAGUGUUGACAUCAUCUCUUCCAUUCACGGAGGCUUCCCAACUCUUCCAGGCAGAGUGAGUCAUCCAUUUCCCUGGGCUCCUCCGGCAUCUCAUAGAGACUUCUGUUGUGGAUUCCCCUGCUCUGUGCCACAAUGAUGUGUCGACAAGUUUGUCUCUCCCACAGCAUACACUGUGGGAUUCUUUAAAACAGAGAUGGUGUCAUGAAUUUCUGGUUUGGCAGGUUUGAAAAUAUUAUGCAGAACAUUAGUUUUUUUAAUAAAAGAAAAAUGAAUAAACAGAAGGAUAAAGCAUUAAGCUUAACCUCUAUAUAUACAGAACUCUGUAUCUGUAAAAAGAGGAUAAUAAAGAUACCCAGUUGUGGUAGAUUAAAUGAUUAACUGCAAUUCUUUACUCUUUCCUUUUGUGCCACAUGGGCAGAAGCUUGGGUGUGUUGCUCACUUUGGCAAAGAACAUGUGGGUAGACAUGAGAUGGUGCCAGUUCUAAGCCUGUACCUUAAGAAGAAUCACAGUGUCUCUUUACCUCUUUCCUUCUGCCAUUACCAUGAGAAGCAUUCUCUCUGGAUACCUGUUCGUAUUAUCCCUACAGCCUGGAAUGCAGUUUGAAGAUAUGUGCAGAAGAAAUGCCCAAGCCGACCCCGGACCUACAGUGAGAAGCAGAACAGCCCAGAGAAGCUCAGCCUAGGGCAACAGAGACAGCCUAGUCAACCUACAGAUCUGGGACAAUAAAUGCUUCUGCUUUUAAGCCACCG
rnacentral:lncRNA from 10 species